GAACGCUAGCGACAGGCCUAACACAUGCAAGUCGAGGGGCAGCACAAGGAGCAAUCUGAGGUGGCGACCGGCGCACGGGUGAGUAACACGUAUGCAACCUGCCUGUAAGCGGGGAAUAACCCGUUGAAAGACGGACUAAUACCGCAUAAUACUAAAUUACUGCAUGGUAAUUUAUUUAAACAUUUAUGGCUUACAGAUGGGCAUGCGCAUGAUUAGCUAGUUGGAGAGGUAACGGCUCCCCAAGGCAACGAUCAUUAGGGGUUCUGAGAGGAAGGUCCCCCACACUGGUACUGAGACACGGACCAGACUCCUACGGGAGGCAGCAGUGAGGAAUAUUGGUCAAUGGACGAGAGUCUGAACCAGCCAAGUCGCGUGCAGGAAGAAUUGUCCUAUGGAUUGUAAACUGCUUUUGCAGGGGAAUAAAGUGCAUCACGUGUGAUGUUUUGUAUGUACUCUGCGAAUAAGGAUCGGCUAACUCCGUGCCAGCCGCCGC
rnacentral:rRNA from 1 species